rnacentral:lncRNA from 1 species
AGUGAGGCUGUUUGCACCAUUUAAUUCUCCCUGCAGGUUCUACUGGAUGCAGAAAGCCUUUAGCUCAUGGUAGAAGACCUAGCCUCCGAACUACCAGAAUGGCUUGGGAAGAGGAGCAGCCACUGAAGCAGGGGCACAGAAAAGGCCUUGUACUCUCUUGAGAGGAUGGUGCAAGGAACAGCCAGCUCAAGUGCCAAGGUAGCUCAGGUAGAAAGCUGCAAACCGCAGGAAUUAAUCUUCGCUGCCAAAGGCUUCCCUGCUAAGGACUGGUCUGGAUUGGAGGGUGUGCUUGAAGCUGCAGACUGUAUGUGAGCAGGGGCACUCCCAGAGCCCCCAAUAAGGCACUGCUGGUGUCUUCCCACAGGACAGCUCAGCUCCAUCAGGAUGGCCUUACCAUGGGCACAGGGGAGAUUCCUCAGCUUGCAUCUCUCCAGACGGGUUGCUGAGGGCAAGACAAGUCUUCAAAGCACUGAAGCAGGAGAAAUAGCUGCCUUCACUCUGGCCAAAUUCUUGCAAGGAGAAAAGACAGACGUUACAUCCAU